rnacentral:misc_RNA from 1 species
AAGCAACCUGUGGUCACCUCAAAUCCGGUAUUUGUAAUAGUUGGAGAUAUUCUUUGCCCGAUAGCUGAGAUCUCGCCAAGCAUAGCCUAUUCUAGUUCUAGCACCGGAAGAGCCAUUUCAGAGGCUCAAAAUAUUAUGAAAAAUAUAUUCAAGGAGAACGGAGCACUCGUGUUAGCCGGGAAGCGCCAACGACGAUUGAUUGCUAUGCAGGCGGCCCUUGAGACGAGGUUAUAUCAAAAAGAAAAGAAUAAGCAUCGUCAGAACGAUCCGAAGAAAAUAGGCAGGGGGCAAAGACCAAAGAAAGAGCAAAGGAACUCAGACUCACCUAGUGAGUAUAUGGAUUUCGUGUCUAAGUUACUGAUGAUUCCGUAGAACUUGUGACAAAGGAAGCAAUGGGGGAAUUGCCUUAAGAAGUUGACAAUAAAGAGGUGGUGCCUUUAUAGAGGAGGGUAGCUAAGGGUGUGGAUGAAAAAUGAGAGAUAGACAGGCCACUUCAUCUCAGGAUACAUCCAACGAUGCACAAGAAUCAGAUUCCGACCAACUCUUGAACUCCAGAGACCCAAACAAGGCCUGCUUUUCCUCUCUUUAAGUACGGUUACCUAUUUUCUUAUUGGGUUAACAAUCUUAUCCACCAGGAUAUUUAAUUCCCG